UACGGGGGGAGCAAGCGUUGUUCGGAUUUACUGGGCGUAAAGGGCGCGUAGGCGGUCGUGACAAGUCACUUGUGAAAUCUCCGGGCUUAACUCGGAACGGUCAAGUGAUACUGUCGGACUAGAGUACAGAAGGGGCAACUGGAAUUCUCGGUGUAGCGGUGAAAUGCGUAGAUAUCUGGAGGAACACCGGUGGCGAAGGCGGCAUCCUGGACCAACAUUGACGCUGAGGAGCGAAAGCCAGGGGAGCAAACGGG
rnacentral:rRNA from 1 species